GCCAGUGUGGCAAAGUGGUUUGAGUGCUGGACUGUGACUUUGGAGAUCAGGGUUCAAAUUCCUGCUCAGCCA